GCUUAUUUUGCUCAGUGGUUAGAGCAUCUGCCCUCAGACCGAAAGGUCACGGGUUCGAUUCCCGGUCAAGGGCA
rnacentral:tRNA from 1 species